ACGCUGGCGGCGUGCCUAAUACAUGCAAGUCGAACGCACAGCGAAAGGUGCUUGCACCUUUCAAGUGAGUGGCGAACGGGUGAGUAACACGUGGACAACCUGCCUCAAGGCUGGGGAUAACAUUUGGAAACAGAUGCUAAUACCGAAUAAAACUUAGUGUCGCAUGACACAAAGUUAAAAGGCGCUUCGGCGUCACCUAGAGAUGGAUCCGCGGUGCAUUAGUUAGUUGGUGGGGUAAAGGCCUACCAAGACAAUGAUGCAUAGCCGAGUUGAGAGACUGAUCGGCCACAUUGGGACUGAGACACGGCCCAAACUCCUACGGGAGGCUGCAGUAGGGAAUCUUCCACAAUGGGCGAAAGCCUGAUGGAGCAACGCCGCGUGUGUGAUGAAGGCUUUCGGGUCGUAAAGCACUGUUGUAUGGGAAGAACAGCUAGAAUAGGAAAUGAUUUUAGUUUGACGGUACCAUACCAGAAAGGGACGGCUAAAUACGUGCCAGCAGCCGCGGUAAUACGUAUGUCCCGAGCGUUAUCCGGAUUUAUUGGGCGUAAAGCGAGCGCAGACGGUUUAUUAAGUCUGAUGUGAAAGCCCGGAGCUCAACUCCGGAAUGGCAUUGGAAACUGGUUAACUUGAGUGCAGUAGAGGUAAGUGGAACUCCAUGUGUAGCGGUGGAAUGCGUAGAUAUAUGGAAGAACACCAGUGGCGAAGGCGGCUUACUGGACUGCAACUGACGUUGAGGCUCGAAAGUGUGGGUAGCAAACAGGAUUAGAUACCCUGGUAGUCCACACCGUAAACGAUGAACACUAGGUGUUAGGAGGUUUCCGCCUCUUAGUGCCGAAGCUAACGCAUUAAGUGUUCCGCCUGGGGAGUACGACCGCAAGGUUGAAACUCAAAGGAAUUGACGGGGACCCGCACAAGCGGUGGAGCAUGUGGUUUAAUUCGAAGCAACGCGAAGAACCUUACCAGGUCUUGACAUCCUUUGAAGCUUUUAGAGAUAGAAGUGUUCUCUUCGGAGACAAAGUGACAGGUGGUGCAUGGUCGUCGUCAGCUCGUGUCGUGAGAUGUUGGGUUAAGUCCCGCAACGAGCGCAACCCUUAUUGUUAGUUGCCAGCAUUCAGAUGGGCACUCUAGCGAGACUGCCGGUGACAAACCGGAGGAAGGCGGGGACGACGUCAGAUCAUCAUGCCCCUUAUGACCUGGGCUACACACGUGCUACAAUGGCGUAUACAACGAGUUGCCAACCCGCGAGGGUGAGCUAAUCUCUUAAAGUACGUCUCAGUUCGGAUUGUAGUCUGCAACUCGACUACAUGAAGUCGGAAUCGCUAGUAAUCGCGGAUCAGCACGCCGCGGUGAAUACGUUCCCGGGUCUUGUACACACCGCCCGUCACACCAUGGGAGUUUGUAAUGCCCAAAGCCGGUGGCCUAACCUUUUAGGAAGGAGCCGUCUAAGGCAGGACAGAUGACUGGGGUGAAG
rnacentral:rRNA from 1 species